rnacentral:ncRNA from 2 species
UUCUCACAAUCGGGGAGCUUAAAAAGGCUGAGAGGAAGUUUACAUAAUUUAUUUUAUAAAAACUUCGACCCUUAUAACCUGUUUGGGUAAUGCCAGCGUAGGGAAUUAUCUCUUUUAUUAU